AAAUGAAUCCAGAGAUUCGAAAAAUUCUUCCGCCUGGCAAGAGAUGAUUGCGUUUGGCGUGAGCAAGAUGUUCGGAGCCGGUUUCCGCUUGUUUGCUGCCAGCCCGCCUCUCUCCAGGACGGACGGCUGUGCAGGAGAGCUCGGAAGGCCGAACGCAGUGGGUCCUGGCGUCGUUGGUGUUGGUGAACCUGAAAGGGCAUGCUGAUGCAGUCCCGAGAGAUCCCCUGCCUGUGGGCGUGAGAUAAACACGAAUGUAAGUCAACAAGGUCCCGCGUGCCAUCGCAGCCCGCGAAACAAGUCCACCGUCUCCACAGGACACAAAUGAUUCCUUGAUAAAUGUCCAUAGUUGA